UCGAGUUACCGCUCUACAACCCUUUGUGAACAUACCUAACUGUUGCUUCGGCGGGCAGGGGGUCCCCCCGGGGACGCCCUCCCGGCCCCGCCCCCCUACCAGGGGACGUGGCGCCCGUCGGAGGAUACCCAACUCUAUUUUAACGACGUUUCUUCUGAGUGGCACAAGCAAAUAAUUA
rnacentral:misc_RNA from 1 species